rnacentral:rRNA from 1 species
AUAAGAGGUCCCGCCUGCCCUGUGACAAUGUUCAACGGCCGCGGUAUUUUGACCGUGCAAAGGUAGCAUAAUCAUUUGUCUUUUAAAUGAAGACCCGUAUGAAAGGCACCACGAGAGUUUAACUGUCUCUAUUUUCUAAUCAAUGAAAUUGAUCUAUUCGUGCAGAAGCGAAUAUAAUAACAUUAGACGAGAAGACCCUAUGGAGCUUUAAACACUUAAGUUAAUUAUGUAACCAUUUAUUCCUCAGGGUAUAAACAAAAUAUAUAAUACUUCUAACUUAACUGUUUUUGGUUGGGGUGACCGAGGGGGAAAACAAAUCCCCCUCAUCGAUUGAGUACUCAGUACUUGAAAAUCAGAAUAACAAUUCUGAUUAAUAAAAUAUUUAUCGAAAAAUGACCCAGGAUUUCCUGAUCAAUGAACCAAGUUACCCUAGGGAUAACAGCGCAAUCCUUUCUCAGAGUUCCUAUCGAAGAAAGGGUUUACGACCUCGAUGUUGGAUCAGGACAUCCUAAUGGUGCAACUGCUAUUAAGGGUUCGUUUGUUCAACGAUUAAUAGUCC